UAACCCCGUCCGCGGCCCGCGACCAACCCCCGGUGAAACCCCUUCGACGAGUCGAGUUGUUUGGGAAUGCAGCUCAAAACGGGUGGUAAAUUCCAUCUAAAGCUAAAUACCGGCCGGAGACCGAUAGCGCACAAGUAGAGUGAUCGAAAGAUGAAAAGCACUUUGGAAAGAGAGUCAAACAGCACGUGAAAUUGUUGAAAGGGAAGCGCUUGCGACCAGACCUGCCCGCGGGCGAUCAGCCCCCGUUCUCGGGGGUGCACUCGCCCGCGACCAGGCCAGCAUCGGUCCGGGCGGCCGGAGAAAGGCCGGGGGAACGUAGCUCCCCACGCGGGGAGUCUUAUAGCCCCCGGCGCCAUACGGCCAGCCCGGACCGAGGACCGCGCUCCGGCGAGGAUGCUGGCGUAAUGGUCGUCAGCGGCCCGUCUUGAAACACGGACCAAGGAGUCUAACGUCUAUGCGAGUGUUUGGGCGUCAAACCCACGCGCGGAAUGAAAGUGAACGGAGGUGAGAACCCCCCCCC
rnacentral:rRNA from 1 species